AACGUAGGAGACGAACGUUAUCCGGAGUUACUGGGCGUAAAGGGCGUGCAGGCGGUUGGAUAAGUCUGGCGUGAAAUCUUUCGGCUUAACCGGGGGAUGUCGUCGGAGACUGUCGGACUAGAGGGUGAUAGAGGCGUGUGGAAUUCCGGGUGUAGUGGUGAAAUGCGUAGAGAUCCGGAGGAACACCAGUGGCGAAGGCGACACGCUGGGUCACACCUGACGCUAAGACGCGACAGCAUGGGGAGCAAACGGG
rnacentral:rRNA from 1 species